UUACUAUCCAUUGAAAAUGUUAUUUGCCUCAUUGUUCAGAAACACCCCCACCAAUAUUAUUAUUAAUCUACAAUACUAUAGCAGUUGAAUGCAUGGGAAUGACCUCUGGGUCAUGGGAAGAAAGUAGGAAAACAUGGAGAAAGGCUGACCAACCAACAGGGCAAGGACAUCCUAGCAAAGACACCAGAGACCACAGCCACGAUAGCAGCAGCAUUCCUUCUGACAGCAGCCUCACUUCUGCUGACAACAGCCCUUCCCACAGCCACAGGAGCCACAGCCACAGGUGCGGCAGCAGGUGCAGCAGCAGACCACCAUAGGCUUGCAACAGCCACAACAGCCACAGCUGCUACAGCAGCUGCAGCCAUCACAGCUGCCACCACAGCCACCACUACAGAUGCAACAACCACUACAGCUGUCAUAGCCAGAGCCAACCAUGGUAGUAGAGUGGACUCAGGUGAAGUGAGGAGAGAGACUGAAGAGAGAAGGGGGUCUGAAUGUUUGGCUUAGCAUAAGGCUUACAGUCACUUCCUUGAUGAUGCUUUGGUCUCC
rnacentral:lncRNA from 1 species